ACGGGUGAGUAAUACCUAGGAAUCUGCCUGAUAGUGGGGGAUAACGUUCGGAAACGGACGCUAAUACCGCAUACGUCCUACGGGAGAAAGCAGGGGACCUUUGGGCCUUGCGCUAUCAGAUGAGCCUAGGUCGGAUUAGCUAGUUGGUGAGGUAAUGGCUCACCAAGGCUACGAUCCGUAACUGGUCUGAGAGGAUGAUCAGUCACACUGGAACUGAGACACGGUCCAGACUCCUACGGGAGGCAGCAGUGGGGAAUAUUGGACAAUGGGCGAAAGCCUGAUCCAGCCAUGCCGCGUGUGUGAAGAAGGUCUUCGGAUUGUAAAGCACUUUAAGUUGGGAGGAAGGGUAUUAACCUAAUACGUUAGUAUUUUGACGUUACCGACAGAAUAAGCACCGGCUAACUCUGUGCCAGCAGCCGCGGUAAUACAGAGGGUGCAAGCGUUAAUCGGAAUUACUGGGCGUAAAGCGCGCGUAGGUGGUUUGUUAAGUUGAAUGUGAAAUCCCCGGGCUCAACCUGGGAACUGCAUCCAAAACUGGCAAGCUAGAGUAUGGUAGAGGGUAGUGGAAUUUCCUGUGUAGCGGUG
rnacentral:rRNA from 1 species